rnacentral:rRNA from 1 species
AAGCGUGCGCAGGCGGUUAUGUAAGACAGAUGUGAAAUCCCCGGGCCUCAACCUGGGAACUGCAUUAGUGACUGCAUAGCUGGAGUACGGCAGAGGGGGAUGGAAUUCCGCGUGUAGCAGUGAAAUGCGUAGAUAUGCGGAGGAACACCGAUGGCGAAGGCAAUCCCCUGGGCCUGUACUGACGCUCAUGCACGAAAGCGUGGGGAGCAAACAGGAUUAGAUACCCCUGU